rnacentral:rRNA from 1 species
UACGAAGGGGGCUAGCGUUGUUCGGAUUUACUGGGCGUAAAGCGCACGUAGGCGGAUUGUUAAGUCAGGGGUGAAAUCCUGGAGCUCAACUCCAGAACUGCCUUUGAUACUGGCGAUCUCGAGUCCGGGAGAGGUGAGUGGAACUGCGAGUGUAGAGGUGAAAUUCGUAGAUAUUCGCAAGAACACCAGUGGCGAAGGCGGCUCACUGGCCCGGUACUGACGCUGAGGUGCGAAAGCGUGGGGAGCAAACAGG